rnacentral:rRNA from 1 species
GGCGAACGGGUGAGUAAUGCAUCGGAACGUGCCCAGUAGUGGGGGAUAGCCCGGCGAAAGCCGGAUUAAUACCGCAUACGACCUACGGGUGAAAGCGGGGGACCGCAAGGCCUCGCGCUAUUGGAGCGGCCGAUGUCAGAUUAGGUUGUUGGUGGGGUAAAGGCCUACCAAGCCGACGAUCUGUAGCUGGUCUGAGAGGACGACCAGCCACACUGGGACUGAGACACGGCCCAGACUCCUACGGGAGGCAGCAGUGGGGAAUUUUGGACAAUGGGGGCAACCCUGAUCCAGCCAUGCCGCGUGCGGGAAGAAGGCCUUCGGGUUGUAAACCGCUUUUGUCAGGGAAGAAACGCUCUGGGCUAAUACCCUGGGGUAAUGACGGUACCUGAANAAUAAGCACCGGCUAACUACGUGCCAGCAGCCGCGGUAAUACGUAGGGUGCAAGCGUUNAUCGGAAUUACUGGGCGUAAAGCGUGCGCAGACGGUCUUGCAAGACAGAUGUGAAAUCCCCGGGCUUAACCUGGGAACCGCAUUUGUGACUGCA